rnacentral:rRNA from 1 species
CCUACGGGGGGCAGCAGUGGGGAAUAUUGCACAAUGGGGGAAACCCUGAUGCAGCGACGCCGCGUGAGUGAAGAAGUAAUUCGUUAUGUAAAGCUCUAUCAGCAGGGAAGAAAAUGACGGUACCUGAGUAAGAAGCCCCGGCUAACUACGUGCCAGCAGCCGCGGUAAUACGUAGGGGGCAAGCGUUAUCCGGAUUUACUGGGGGUAAAGGGAGCGUAGACGGCAGUGCAAGUCUGGAGUGAAAGGCGGGGGCUCAACCCCCGGACUGCUCUGGAAACUGUACGGCUGGAGUGCAGGAGAGGUAAGUGGAAUUCCUAGUGUAGCGGUGAAAUGCGUAGAUAUUAGGAGGAACACCAGUGGCGAAGGCGGCUUACUGGACUGUAACUGACGCUGAGGAGCGAAAGCGUGGGGAGCGAACAGGAUUAGAUACCCCAGUAGUC